rfam:Gossypium raimondii Chr10_contig_1416, whole genome shotgun sequence.
UAUUAAAAAUUUCAUUCAUUUCUACUAUUAAAAACUGACAUAGCUGACAAAAUAACCAAACAAUGACACAUGGUGUGCCACAUGUACCUCAUGUUGAUGUACAGGGACCAGUUUUUAAUAAUAAAAAUGGAUUAAAUUUUUAACA